rnacentral:rRNA from 1 species
UACGGAGGGUGCAAGCGUUAUCCGGAUUCACUGGGUUUAAAGGGUGCGUAGGUGGGUCUGUAAGUCAGUGGUGAAGUCUCCGGGCUUAACCCGGAAACUGCCAUUGAUACUAUAGGUCUUGAAUUUUCUGGAGGUCAGCGGAAUAUGUCAUGUAGCGGUGAAAUGCUUAGAUAUGACAUAGAACACCGAUUGCGAAGGCAGCUGGCUACAGGAACAUUGACACUGAGGCACGAAAGCGUGGGGAUCAAACAGG